rnacentral:misc_RNA from 1 species
GCUAUCAGGCACUACAGGUGACAGUCAGGACCACAGCUAUCAGGCACUACAGGUGACAGUCAGGACCACAGCUAUCAGGCACUACAGGUGACAGUCAGGACCACAGCUAUCAGGCACUACAGGUGACAGGCAGGACCACAGCUAUCAGGCACUACAGGUGACAGGCAGGACCACAGCUAUCAGGCACUACAGGUGACAGGCAGGACCACAGCUAUCAGGCACUACAGGUGACAGGCAGGACCACAGCUAUCAGGCACUACAGGUGACAGGCAGGACCACAGCUAUCAGGCACUACAGGUGACAGGCAGGACCACAGUCAGAAGACAGUAAGGUCACCCUCGCGUACUCUACUACUCCUCGGGAACAGUAAAGUAAUCCUCACUGUGCUCCUCAGGUAAAAACAAAAGCAGUUCUGUUCACUUUACAGCUCACUGCGUCUCAUCACAGGUGAGUGUCUCUGUUUACUUACUGCACCUGGCUGGUUGAAGUAUAAGUUUAUUAAGGGUUACCUGUACUCAAGUCUCUACAGCUAUAUGGGUGACGAGAAGAGUCGUUUAUUGGUGGAUAUAAUUUAUUCAGGAUAAGACUCAGUGAGACAGUCUAAGGUAAGUAACAAAAAUUAACUAAAAUAGCUAAUGAAUAAGUCAAUAAUCUUUUUACCAGUUAAUCGAUCCUCAUUCUAUAAUUUAUUACGAACAGACAACGAGAGUGUUAAGCACAGCUGAGCUUCAGGAAGAAUCGCCAUCAUCACAGGUAAGGGUGGAGCAAACCCUAGGGACGUCAACUUUGCUCCCAACCAGCACAAAUGACUACACGAAGCCCUCACACGUGUUCCGGAACAAUGACGAGACACUAAACGGAAUAUCAAACUUAUCAGAAUUCAGCAGAGAGAAGUCAGAUACGAAGUCGGAAGAGUCAAUCGGACAGGUGGUAAGAGCGAGAGCUGAACACCUGCUCCAGGAAUGUCAACGAUCUGAGGUGAAACAACUUGCACCCUACCGACCCUGGACGAUAGAGAAACACACGUUAACUAGACCAUUUCCAGUGUGUGUCGCUCCUAAGGGAGGCUCGAUUACCUGGAGGUACUUAUUGGAAAAGUUGAGAAAGAUAAACAAUGGGAGCCGAAAAGACCUCAAGACCUUGGUAGUGAGGCAUCCACUUGCUCGUCUCGCCUCAGUCUACAGAGACAAAUACCUGAAUGGUCUGCCGUUGAAUCAAUACAACAGGACCUUCACUAGAGUAACGGGAAGUGGCCAGACGUGGAGAGACAGGUGGCAGGAGUACUGGCUCCCUACCCUCAUUAAUAAAGGUCUUGUUAAAGCUUCCCCUAAAUACCUGAAAACAAUACAGGAAGCUUCAGAGGCUUUUAAAUAUAUAGCAAAGACGUCAAUAAACUCUGCUGGAAAGAUUUCACUUUCUGCACCAUUCAGAAUUAAAUCCAAUUAUCAUCCUAAGAUCCUGAGCCUAGCCAAGAGGAUGCUGGAACAAGGGAGGCAUUUAGGAGUUAUCGCUGCUGUUAAUGACGGUUAUUCUAUUGAAGAGCAAAAUAACCUCAAGAAACAGUUUAUAAACUUCUCCUUCACUAUGGAAGACUUCCUUCACCACCUGUUGUGGACUUGGGACAAGGGGCUGGUAGAUCGUCACUGGACACCCAUCAGUGAGCUGUGUAAUCCCUGUGGAGGUGACUAUAAAUAUGUUGUGCAUUUGGAGAACCCGGAUGAGGCCAACUAUGUGCUCGGCCUCCUGCUCGAGAACAACACCCUCCCCUGGAAGCACAGGUCCAUAGGAGUCACGACGAACAAUACUAAUCGUUCGUUCUUUGCGAAUAUCCCCAAGAAAUUAAUUGACAGAAUUGUUAAUAUAUAUAUACUGGAAUUUAAACUUUUUGGGUAUCAUGAAAAUAGUUUCUAAAGCAGUGAAGUCGUCAAUAUGUUGCAGGGAAUCUGCGUAACUAGGGAAUUCAAGUAAUCCUUAAAUUACAUACCUAAGGAUUUCAUGGAGUCCCUAAAAUAUGUAGAGUUACCUCCGCAUGAACGCACCGUGGCUUGGGAGUAUGUAAAGGCUCUGGUACGAGACGUGGCAUCACAGCGUGGUAGUCAUUGGCGUGAAACCGUGGAUUUCCCGGUUUACGGUGGCUGCACAACAAUACUGCCUGACACUCAGUAGAGUUCGUUUAUUUUUUUACCCCCUUUAUUGUUUGUAUCUGAUCCAAACAAUGUAUUUUUCACUGUUUCACUCCCAUGCCUUCAGCCCCGAGGUGGAAUGCCUGUACCCGGAGCUGUGAUACCUUCAUCUGUACCUCGGGAUUUCACGUAUCUAAGGUGAUCUCUGAAACAUUCACUAAAUUCUUAUAAUUGCUAAAAUCGACAGCUAAUCCAACCUAACCUAACCAAGUUUAAGAAAACACCCUCACUGAAACACAAUAUUGCUCUGCCACACACCAAGAUGCUAGUGUUUGAUCAAUAAUGCCAACAAUAUGGUAAUUAAGCAGUGAUCACUACUCUUAAACCCUGGAGUUGAAUAGAAAUGUGUUACUUGCUGAUCUAGUGAAUGAUUUAAGUCUAGAUGCACAAUCAAAGACAAAAGUCGUGUCGCGGUUUUGUCCGAAGAUUAAAUAUAACUCGUGAAACAUUAUGAGAGCCUCUUACCACAGUUACUUACUCGUGGUUGUCAAGCAUCAAAAGUUUAGUCCGUCGGCAUAUCUUCCAACCAAAUUUCGCCACACGACUUUUGUCUUUCAUUGUACACACACUUUAAAAAGUAUCUUUACUUACCGACGAGUUUCAAAAUAAACUCUGCGACUCCUGGUGUCACGGGAGGGUUGUCAAAAUCCUCUUGUCUUCUCUUCUGCUUCACAACUGGCCUAAAUAUUUUCCUUUCUGUGGUAUUUAAUUAAUUUAUCUGUGUCUCUUGUAGCACUAAUUCCUUUAAUAAUUAAAUGAUGUUUUAAAGCAGAAUCCACAUUCAACACCUACCAUUUAUCCUCUUUUACUGAACAAAAAGGUAAAUGAUAUCCUCCAUGUAAUUAUUGCUCUAUUAACAGCAUUACCUUCAGAGUACAGUCAUGACCUAACCAAAUAAUACUUCUGUGAUGUUAGAUUAGUCUUAUAAGAAGCGUUAAUAUGUUGUGUAUAGUAUUAGUGUUAUCUAUGUGAGACAACAGAUGGUGUACAACUUUAAGAUGUACAUAGGGAAUCAGUAUUAAAUACACCGUUAAUUAUG